CUUGUCCAGUGACUUUUGAUCAAGAGCCUUGUUUCUCCAAACAAGCUCCUUAAAGCAGCUCCUUAAAAAAAGUAGGAAUUAAUUUCAGACUUUUGUAUAUCUCUUAUUUGGAGCAAUGUAAUCCUUUGUAGCAGGAUCUGGAGAUGGACCUUGGUCCAGCUGAGUGACCCUACCUGCACAAAUCUAAUCUAGUAAGGUGGGUUUAUCCCCUUUUUGCGUCUCCUCAUUUCCAUGAGAAUCUUUUCUUCUCCCACCUCUUGCAGAGGAACUUUUUGAUACCCAUGAAGACAGGAGGGGUGGUUUCGGGGCAUUUUAGCAGAGCCACCAGGCUUCCCUGCUCUCCGUGCCAGGCUCUCUGGGGAAAUGGUGACCUCUGCUGUGCUCUGCUGGGUGGUGGCUGCAGAGAGCUGGGUUAGCUGAGUUUGGUGUAUACGGAGCAACAUUUACAAUUUUACAUAUUUAUUUAUUUCCUGUUUUUAAGGAAACACGUAAAAACAGCUGAGCAGCAUUUUAAGCAUCUGGCAGAACAUUGUACAACUGGUCUGGUUCAUCAGGGAGUUGGGGCUGGUAUAAUCCAGGUUGCUGUUAGCCCUUCAUAGACAUGCCAGCCUUCAUUUAUGGGGCUCUCCUGAGGACUCCUGAAAAGCCACCUCCGUACCAGGAUGAGCAGGCAGAGUCCAGGGCAAGCGAGUGGCCUGAGGUGCAGUGGGAUGGAGAGAGAAACGAGGAUGGUGUGCAGGGCACAGCUGAGACUGUAGCCCCUCUGCCGAACCCAUCCUGCUUCCUUGAGCACAUGGUGCCUCUCUCCCCAGCUCGCUCAGUGUCCGUGUCUUGUCCCCUUCUUGUCACUUCUUGCAAUGUCUUCAGAGGACUUGGGCAAAAUGCGAAAGGCCCUUGGGGGUCUCAGCGGAUCAUCUCUAUUCUCAUCGAUUCUAGCCACAUGCACACGUGCUUGUUAGGUCUGUGUAGCCCUAGGUGUCGCUUCUGGAGGUGUUGCUGAAAGCUGCGUGUUUGGAGCCAGGAGUAUCAACGAGAGCUGUUUCCGCUUGUGUUUGCCUUUCAUGCUUGGAUCCCCUGCCAUUUCAUCAGGUUGAAGGUGUGAAGGCUUUCAUCCGCCCUGGCAUCCUGGUUAUGUCUAAACCCUCACCCAGCCUGGCAACUCUUCCACUCUCCUUUAGGGAAAUUAUCUUUAAAUUAUCAUCAUUUUGUCAGCACCAGGUAUGCUUCAUUAUUGAUAAUUAAGUAAGAAAACUGCCUUAGUAUCAGUGCUGCUGACACAGUCUUGAGUUGGAACCAGGCUUCAAAAGAGAAUUGCUUGAAAGGGGUAUUUAGGGAAGCAAUUUCCUCGACGGUGCAUGCUAAUGCACAUCUCCAAGUCUGUCUUGGAGCUGCUGGAGCCGGGGAGUCGAGCAGCUCUGUUGAAUGGUGCCUCCUUGGGGAUCAGUGUCUUGUUUCAUCAGGGCCAUCUGCUUGCAACACAGCCUCAGUCAGCUCCAAGUCCUACAACAAGCUGCUUUCAUUGCUGGCUGGAAAUGGUUUGAAAAAUCUGAGUGUUGUAGGUAAACAUGACGUGAGGCUAUGGGAUAUAGCCAUCCAGGGAGUUAUCUCACCGGCAGGCAUUUACGGGGUGUUAGUGUGCAUGAAGAGGGGCACAGAGCCACUCAGGCAUCUUGCUGCAGACCCAUCCGAGGUGUGAGCUGGAGUUUUGCUCUGUGUGCCGGCAGCCGGUGGGAAGGGGUGGGAUGGGACAUCCCCUGUGUGCCGCACACACCAGCACGCCUAAUAACCAGGCUGCCCCGAAGGCCCAGCGGGGCUCCAGUCAGGCUUUGCCCUCCACGCACACAGAGGUCUCAGUUUUGCAAAGACAAAUUCUGUGAAUAUUCACUUGCUGUGGAUGGGAUGAUAUGGUUUUGCAGUGCAAAAGCCUGCAUUUAUAUUCAAGGGGCUCUUUGAAACUGGACCCCAAUGAAACUUACUGCCUGCCGGGUUAAAUAAAUCCUUUGCGUCUCCUUCUUCCUCAGCUCUUCUUCAUCACUGAUUCUGUGUGCGUCACCGGGUGUGAGAGCAGCCUGUGAUACAUUUGCCAGGGGCGAUUUUUUGAGAACCGUUAGUUAAGCUGAUUUAUUUUGUUGCCUCUGUGUCCCUGGGGUCCCUGUGAGCCAAGUGCACAGGGCAGAGCUGACGUUGCUGGAGAGGCAGAUGCCAGCGCGCUCACAGCACAACACGAUGGUGUUUUCAGAGAUGAAACAGGGUCUUCUUGAAGCAACCCCUUGACAACGGCUAAACAAUUAAAACGUGAGCAGCACUUCCCAUGCUAACCAGUAUUUCCCAGUGCUUUCAUUUGCACCCAGAUGCUGCCACUUUUCUUUCCACUUCAGAUGUGCACCGAUCCCCUGUUGCAGCACAAUCCAGAGGGUUAAAUGUGCUCUUCCUCCCAGCCCUCAUCCCUCAUUAUCCAGCAGUCACUGCCUCCUGCAUCAGGUGAGUUGGUGCAUGCUGCUUUCACCAGGAUUUAGGCUGCAACACCGAAUUUACUGCUAAUGGGGCUUAAGAACGAGUGGUUGCACACCCGGACUGCAAGCUGAUGCACGUGGCAGAGUCAUGCGUUAAGGCUGGAAGAUGAGCAUUUCACACCCUGCCCCAAAACAACACCGGCAAAAUAUACUGUAUAUAGAGUUAGAUUUGGUAUUCCAGGCCUGGCCUUGUCUUUUCUUGCAUUUUCUUCAGCGCAGAAGAGAUCUGUGUUCUCCUCCCCCAGCCUCAAGUGGACCUUGAAGAUUGCUGCUCCUCUUGUGGUGAAUUCAGGCCCAGGGUCAUCUCUGAGCCCCAGAUGGGCAUAAGAGUGGCUUAUUUGUAUGAAUUGUACCCUCUACCACCCAAGGUAAGGAAAACACUAACAUCCCAGUGGCCAAUUCCCACACUUUGUUUAGGAACAAAUGGAAGAGAUGUUGUGUUUAAUUAUCUCAGCCUGCCUACCACGAUAUUUGCACUAAUACUUGGGUUUAAUGAGCUGGAAAAUCUGGGCCAUUGUGUGCUGGUGGAUAUACCCAUCCUUUCCUCAGCUAAAUAUGUUAUCAGAUAGCUUCCACGGAGAUGAGCAACCGCUUCCUUUGAACUCGUGAACCGUUAAGAUUCACUAAUUUGCUUAGACCACCUGCUUGGCUAAUACUACCACAGGCCUCUUGUUUUCUCUCUGAAGUGGUAAACAGAAACGUAGACACUGCCUAGAUGUUGCUGUACCGAGCCACUCUGGCAUGCCGGCCCCAGAGGUUGGCCACAACACAUCGUCGGCUCUGCCCCGGCCAAAUAAUGACAGCACGGGCAAUGCAGAGCCCUGCUAACAGCCUCCGCUUACUGCCCGGGGACUUGCAGCCCUGCGGAAAUGCUCUGGCUGGAUCUGCAAAGAUCCCAAGGUUCCCCAGGAAUUGUGGUAUAAAAUAGAAUUAUCCUGCUUCUCCCCUCACUCUGUCUUGUGUUUGUGCAGAGCUGCUCCCAGGACAGGCUCUGCACACUGGAUGCUCCCCGAGUGCUGGGAGGAGUUGACCAUGGAGGUGUGAUGCGUCCCCCCCCAAGCCGAUUUGCCCCAGGAAAGGGGAUAUGCUUCCAGCCAGCUUGGGGACCCUUCUGUAACCCUGAUCUGCAUGGGCACCUGCCCCGCAAUGCAUUUACUGAUGCAGCAGGGUAUUUCUUCCACGGGUCGCAGAUACCUUUGUUAAUUACCAUAGAAACCUCCAAACAUCGCAGCAUAUGCUCUUGCGUCAGGAUCUCACUCCUCUGCAUCUCCUUCCUGGGCACACUAUGGGGAGUAGGCACUCUGCUGUCCCAAGUGGCAGGGGAUUAUUUUUGGUUUUAUUAUUAGGCAUGCUCUUGAUGGCUCCUGGAGCAUGGGACAGACUCUGUGGCCGUGGUCCUUCUACUCUCGCUCCUUUGCAACUUGCUGCAUGGGGGGACACCAUCUCUCGCCGCUCUGCCUGGCCUUGCAGAGGGACGCAUUUGAUGUUCCAGCCCUAAAUAUUCUUGUGCUCGCUGCUAUUACCACUUCAGAUGUGCAAAUUGCAAAACCUGAGAGGCGUUAUCGGCAAAGCAAGCUUGGCAACCCUUAAAUUAGCAACAUGCAAGCGCGUGGCGUUCUGCCCAGAGCUCCUCGUGCUGUUAACACCGAUAGUUUAACGAGCCUCACUCCGUGUUCCCGUGCAAGACGGGCACACCGGCGUGGCAGAUGGUGUAUCCUCACAGCUCCGUGGGCCAUCCCUCAGCAUGCCUGGCCAGCGGGAGGACUGUCAGCACCGAGGGGAGGGGAAAGGGGCUCUCUGAUUGACCGUUUAUUAGGACGGAGCUGGAGGAUGAGACAGAUGGCUGGGGUUUGUUGGCAGGGAACUCCGCUCCUGUUUGUUUAAUUAGUCACCAGACAUCCUGAAAGCUAAAGCGUGUUGGAGGCAAACUCGUAAGCAGGGGGAGAUGGACCAUUUGCGCUUGACGUAUAGGAGCAGCUGGGAGCAACUUGGUGAUCCUCAUCUCAUGGUCCUGCUGCGGGAUCGAUGCUCCUGCACGUGGGACUGGGCCUUCCCAGUGGCUUCGGUCCCCGGAAGGGACAGAUGCAGCCAUGUGCCUUGCUUUUCCAGCCAAAGGGGGCACCAUCCUGGAGUUUUCCUUUCUCUGGCACCCAGCAGAGCACGGAGCUGCUUUUGGGGAAUGGAUUCACCAGGGUGAGGGUUCAGCCCCCUGCUUUGCCACCACAUCUCUCUCCCUCACCAUCUCCUGACACCGGAGCACGUCUCUUCCUCAGCCCUGAGCUUCACAAAGCAUCGGGGACAAGGAAAUGUCACGAAGGGACGGGUGUCACUCAUUCCCUGAAGCACAAGCUGUGCGUGCAUCGGGCAUUUGACAUCCCUUCACAGUACCCAUGAAGAAACACACAUUACACCUUUAUUUAUGCUUUAUAAAGUGUUAGAUUCUA